GACGAACGCUGGCGGCGUGCUUAACACAUGCAAGUCGAACGGAAAGGCCCUGCUUUUGUGGGGUGCUCGAGUGGCGAACGGGUGAGUAACACGUGAGUAACCUGCCCUUGACUUUGGGAUAACUUCAGGAAACUGGGGCUAAUACCGGAUAGGAGCUCCUGCUGCAUGGUGGGGGUUGGAAAGUUUCGGCGGUUGGGGAUGGACUCGCGGCUUAUCAGCUUGUUGGUGGGGUAGUGGCUUACCAAGGCUUUGACGGGUAGCCGGCCUGAGAGGGUGACCGGCCAAAAUGGGAAUGAGAUACGGCCCAGACUCCUAAGGGGAGGAGGAGUGGGGAAAAAUGCAAAAUGGGCGGAAGCCUGAAGGAGCAACGGCGCGUGCGGGAAGAAGGCCUUCGGGUUGGAAACCGCUUUCGCCUGGGAAGAAGGGUGAGGGACGGGAAAGGGGAAAGAAGCAACGGCUAAAUAAGUG
rnacentral:rRNA from 1 species